GACGAACGCUGGUGGCGUGCUUAACACAUGCAAGUCGAACGGAAAGGCCCUGCUUUUGUGGGGUGCUCGAGUGGCGAACGGGUGAGUAACACGUGAGUAACCUGCCCUUGACUUUGGGAUAACUUCAGGAAACUGGGGCUAAUACCGGAUAGGAGCUCCUGCUGCAUGGUGGGGGUUGGAAAGUUUCGGCGGUUGGGGAUGGACUCGCGGCUUAUCAGCUUGUUGGUGGGGUAGUGGCUUACCAAGGCUUUGACGGGUAGCCGGCCUGAGAGGGUGACCGGCCACAUUGGGACUGCGAUACGGCCCAGAAUCCUACGGGAGGCAGCAGGGGGGAAUAUUGCACAAUGGGCGGAAGCCUGAUGCAGCAACGCCGCGUGCGGGAUGACGGCCUUCGGGUUGUAAACCGCUUUCGCCUGUGACGAAGCGUGAGUGACGGUAAUGGGUAAAGAAGCACCGGCUAACUACGUG
rnacentral:rRNA from 1 species